rnacentral:rRNA from 1 species
UAGGGAAUCUUCGGCAAUGGACGAAAGUCUGACCGAGCAACGCCGCGUGAGUGAAGAAGGUUUUCGGAUCGUAAAACUCUGUUGUUAGAGAAGAACAAGGACGUUAGUAACUGAACGUCCCCUGACGGUAUCUAACCAGAAAGCCACGGCUAACUACGUGCCAGCAGCCGCGGUAAUACGUAGGUGGCAAGCGUUGUCCGGAUUUAUUGGGCGUAAAGCGAGCGCAGGCGGUUUCUUAAGUCUGAUGUGAAAGCCCCCGGCUCAACCGGGGAGGGUCAUUGGAAACUGGGAGACUUGAGUGCAGAAGAGAAAAGUGGAAUUCCAUGUGUGGCGAUGACAUGCGUAGAUAUAUGGUGGAACACCAGUGGCGAAGGCGGCUCUCUGGUCUGUAACUGACGCUGAGGCUCGAAAGCGUGGGGAGCAAACAGA